GUCAUGUUUUUACAAGCUGCCUUUCUGAUGAUGGUUCUUGGCAGCAGCAUUCACCAGAUUUUUUACCACACUUCAUAAAGGCACUCAGGGAAGAGGACUCCAGAGCUGCUUCAGAAAGUGGCAAGAAUGAUGCGAUGAGAAGUCAGGAAGAGCACACUCUGCUCUGCUCAGCAUCUGGGGCCUUGUUGCCCAGCUCCUGCAGAAAAGGUUGCUGCAGGUUUUGUGUCCAGACACCAAGUGUGAAGGAGCACAGUGGCCACAGGAUGGCAGCACGUUAAAGAAUGAAGGAUCGCGCACUUGCUGUCCUCGGAUUUUGAGAAAUCUCUGUGAACGGAGAAGAAAACCUCCAAUGGAAGCUCUGUGUCUCUCACUGGAGUCCAGAAGAGGGCAAUGGAGUACAAAGAGUUGUGGACAUGCUGGACCCCUGGGAUGGCCAGAGCUCCCCUGCCAAGGGUGCUUCCUCUCCAGAAGGUGCCCAGCCUUUCUUCACCGCCUGGUAAUUACAGCUGAAUGCCAAUAAAUGGUGCUGGGUUCACGUGUGUCUGAGUGGAGCCUGUGCCCGUGCUGUCCCUGGAGGAACUCAGGCCACGGAGGAGCCGCCCGUGGGUGACACGCCUCCCUUUGCGUGGGCCACUGCAGCCGGCUCCUGGCCCCCCACCCCCCAGUGCUCCGUGCUCUGUGCACUGCGAGGAGGGGAGCGUCUCUGCCUGGUGCCCAGGGAGGGGCCCUGUGGGGUCUCCCUGAGGUGAGCAGGCUCCUGUGGUUCCUGUCCCAGUAGGCAGGGCUGUGAGAAGUGGGGUCCAGGACUUGGUGCAGUGUGGAGCUCAGAUCAAAGCCCCCGAAGACCCUAGGGGUCGCAGCCUGAGGACAGCAAGCCAUAGAAAUCAGAGAGCUGCGUCUGCUCAGGAGAAUGGGGAGCGCUUCAGGAGGCCUUUGGCCUCAGCUCUGGCCACCUGGGAAAGGCUGGAAUCCCCUUCCCUCUCUUCCUUCUUUCCUCCCCUUUUCUCU